UACGGAGGGAGCUAGCGUUGUUCGGAAUUACUGGGCGUAAAGCGCGCGUAGGCGGCUUUGUAAGUUAGAGGUGAAAGCCCGGGGCUCAACCCCGGAACAGCCUUUAAGACUGCAUCGCUAGAAUCCGGGAGAGGUGAGUGGAAUUCUCGGUGUAGCAGUGAAAUGCGUAGACUAUCGAGAGGAACACCAGUGGCGAAGGCGAGUCCCCUGGACAGGUCCUGACGCUGGAGGCACGAAAGCCUAGGGGAGCAAACAGG
rnacentral:rRNA from 1 species